ACAUUCGUUAACCCACGGUUAUAGAUCUUUUAUUAAUUUGGUCGCGAUCAUAUUCUAGGGUUUUACGUAUUUAAUCCGCAGCAAUCUUGUAGCCGCCGAUUCCAUUGUUUUCUACUUCUUUGCUGUUCUAGUUGUUUCUCUUGUAGCCGCAGAUUUAUAUCUGCACAUUUUUGCGCGUAAUUUCGACAUCGGGGUUCUACAUUCGAAUGUUUCUACAAUAAUCAAACAUUGCGCGAUCCUCGCGAGUGCUAGAUCGCUUUCGGUAGCCGAUGGGAUUCCAUCGGCAGCGGCGGUGGAGGUUUCGAUCGCCGUCGAACGAGCUGGUCACGGGAUCGGUAUAUUUGUGUUGCUGCGGUUGAAUCUUCACGCUCCGUCGGACUUAGCUGUCUCAAAGUGAGUUCAAAUGGGCUGAAAGGAGUAAAGGACGUGGAGCUGACCUAUCUGAUAAACCGUUAGGGAAAGUCCCCUAAAGGUCUAGAAAGUAGAAGGUCAAGGGUCACUCUGCAAGUUCUCUCCGGUCUGUAAGAUCCACAUCGGUAUUCAUUGUAAAGGUACGAAAACCUUUCCCUAAUAGACGCAUUUUAAAAUCGUGAGACCGACGACAAUAAGUAAUGGGUCAUAGCGGACAAUAUAUAUCAGCGUGCUUGAGCUGUUACAAAUGGUAUGAAAGAUAGGCACCGGGUGAUGUGCCAUGAGGACAUUGGCCUACAAGGAGGUGGAUCGUGAGAUCUCACUUCAUUUAGAGAGGGGAACGAAGCGUUCUAGGGUGUGGAAACCUCUCCCUAACCCUUUUUAAAAUCUAACAAGCGUGUGGCUUGACGGUGAUAUUUAAAAAUUAAAAGGUACUCGGUAGAUAAUGGUAUUAGGCAAUACAUUUCAAAUGUCCAAUUGAGUAGAUACAAUAGUUCAUCAGUGAUUUUCUGUUCUUCUUUUUUUAUUAGUUAACAAUGAUUGCUGAUCUUUGACAUUGACAGUGAAUUUUAUCCUUAAUUCGUAAAUUCAAGUUGCAUUCCAAGUAAUGCUACAAUUCUAUAACUGACUUCACACAUGAACAUAUAUGUCUCCCCUUCGCCUUGCUUGGUGGGCCUCGGGGAGUUAUGUAUUAGCAAUGCUCACAUGAAUGUCAUUUGGAGUUUGUCAGGCUUCUUGUGCUUCUUUUAAGGUGCUUCGAGUUUGGAAUAUUCUCCAACAUUAGUGCUGAGGCUGUUGUUCUACUACUAUAUGAAUCACUAUACUAUUCGUAAUUAGUAAAUAUGCCCAUUCUUGUUUUAUACUUAUUGAUCACAAUUUUCUUUCAUAAUUAUUUGUUCUUAAUUGGAGUCCCUGUCUUUAAGAUUGCUUCCAUUUUUUUGUUGGCUUUGGGCCAUAGAUCCUUUGCGGUCUAUUGUUUUAUGUAAAAUGGUAUGUAUUCCCAGAAUCUUGUCAUCUGGUUAAUGAGUAGAAUCCUUCUUCUUUUUAUGGGAGAAAUAGGCUUUGGUUUGAGUUAUAAAUGAGUUUGGAGUUUGAGAACCACUGUGUAUUAGGCCAAUAAGAUACAUAGAACCACUGUGCCCUUGGAGGAUAAUUGGGCUUUUUUUUUUUUUUUAAGAUAGUAAUUUGUCUUAAAAAUACUCCUAAAUCUUUUAAAAGUUUCAAUAAUGCACCUAAAUAUCUUUACUCUUGGAUGGAAACGGUUGGUAUUUUGUUUCAAAAAUACUCAUGAACUUUUAAUGGUGUUUUAAACAUUCAUUAAUACCUACUUUUUUUAAAAAAAAGUUCAACAAUAUACUUGUCGUUAGUACUAUGUUUAAAAAAUACUAAAAUACUAACGAUAGAAGUAUAUUUUAACUUUUUAAAAAAGUGUAAGAGUAUAAUGAAACUUUUUAAAACUUAAAAGUAUUUUGAAACCCUUUUGAAAGUUCAAGGGUAUUUUUGAAACAAAGUAUUAACGGUUUUCCUCUAAAACUAUCCGUAAGGUUAACUUUGAACUUUUUUGAAAGUUCAAAGGUAUUAUUAAGACUUUUUCUCGAAAGUUUGGGGUAUUUUUGAGAUAAAUUAUUAAGUUUGAUAGUAUUUUUAUGAAUUUAGCCUUUUUAGAGGAAGAGGUGCACAAGUCGAAAUGGGAUGUCGAAUUAGUGCUUUUCCCAUGACCAUGAAUCCAAAUAGUGUGAAUGUUGAAUGACCAUUUGUAAAUGUUCAAUGGAUCUUUCACUCCACACCUUAGUUCUUCAUCAAGGGAAUAUGCACAAGUCGAAAUGGGAUGUCGAAUUAGUGCUUUUCCCAUGAACACGAAUCCAAAUAGUGUGAAUGUUCAAUGACCAUUUGUAAAUGUUCAAUGGACCUUUCACUCUACACCUUGGUUCUUCAUCAAGGGAAUAUGCACAAGUCGAAAUGGGACGUCGAAUCAGUGCUUUUUCCAUGAACAUGAAUCCAAAUAGUGUGAAUGUUAAUGACCGUUUGUAAAUGCUCAAUGGACCUUUCACUCCACACCUUGGUUCUUCGUCAAGGGAAUAUGCAGUUUACUAGGGAAUAUGCAGUUUUGUUAGUAAAGAUUAGAAUUCUGAUCUGAAUACCUUCUGUGGCAUUUGACAUUUAGUUUGGCUGUUGAAAACGUUGGCCUCGCACUACUGAAAGUAGUAGUAGUGGAAGGCUGAGUAAUAGAUAAGGGGUGUCCCAAAUUCUGAAAGAAACUCCCUCUCUGUUGUUUUUGUCUAACAUUAUUAUUGGGUUGGUGGUAUCUUGUUUGUGCAAUGCAUUUAUUUAUAUAUGUUGUAUUACAAAGUGGGUUGCGUGUUGUUACAUACCUUUAUUUGCUUUUCUUCACUCAUUAUCCUCUCCAUUUACUCAUUUUAUAUUACUUCUGAUGCUAACACAUUGGUUUCGUGUAGGGGUCGGUUUCCCUCUUCAAGAAACAACACGUCUAAUAAUAAGAGGUUUUUUUUUCUCUUCUUCAAUAUUAUGAAUAAACCACGAGGGACUUAGGACUUAAAUAUUUUAACAAGUUUGUACGUUAGUAGAUAGGUUUGAGUUAAAAUAUUUGAGUUUACUACACAAAAGAGAUACCCGUUGAGAAUUCGAGUCAUAAAAACAAAUAUGUAUAUUGCUAAAUUUGUUUAUUGUUUUUUUUUUUUUUUUUUUUUUGUAGUUCAAAUUAGUCUUUAGGAUCGAAUAUGAUAUCUAAAUGUUUAGCUUUGCCUCUAUAACUCAAGAUUAUCACAAAGUAACGUCACAUUGCAUUUGACCAUCUUAGUUCUCAACAACACGAUCUCUCGUGCUUCUACACUUAUUGGGAACUUUAUUGUGUUGAGCUUGGACCUUUCGUUAGGUUAAAACAAGGUUAUUGUACUUUAUCUAUUAGGUGAUUCAGACACUUAUUUAGAUCUAUCGAAACAUAAUAAUUCAUAUCAGACUUUGACUUUAGCGGC